rnacentral:lncRNA from 1 species
CAAGGAAGAGAUGGACGAGGUUGUGCUGCUCCUUUCAUCUAUCUAAAUUGCUAUAUGAAAAGCUCUGACUUACCAAUCUGGUGAAUAUCACCACCGACUCUCAUUUUCAGGCAUAGUAUAUGUGAGGUAUUGUACCAGCUAACAUGAUUUGUUUUGCGUGCAGGAAGAUUAAGGAGAUGGCCAAUAGAUCAGUUUUGGAGGCAACGCUUCUUUGGUAUCCCUGCUUCAUAGCCUAUGUUUUUCAUUGCCUCCUCCACGUAGCUCUCUCAGUAACAGCGAAGAUAAUUUGGUGUGGGUUAGUUCUUAAUUAAUCUAUGUCAACAUGGUUUCAAUAGCCAGAUUCAUGCGGGAUGUGAAAACCAGGGGCUGAUGAAAGGAUGCUUGGUGGGGAUGGCAUGCUUUAUUCGUUCUGCAAAAUUCUCAUGCAUCUUCUCAACUUUCUACUUAUUCUUUCUUUCCCUGACUAGCAGGUCAAUGUGCCGUGGAAAGUUGAUCUCAUC